rnacentral:misc_RNA from 1 species
UCUCCGUUGGUGAACCAGCGGAGGGAUCAUUACAGGACUCGCAAGACUCCUUCACCCUGUGAACCUCACUACAAGCACGUUGCUUCGGCGGGUGUCCCGGCGGGGGUUUUCCCUCGCCGGGGCGCACAGCCCGCCGGCAGCCUACUAUACUCGGUCUCUUUGCGUUGGCAUUUCGAGAAAAAACAAACAAGUUAAAACUUUCAACAACGGAUCUCUUGGUUCUG